UUAAACACGAUGACUGGGAAUAGUAGGCCUUAUUUUGGUUCGAGAGAGUUGGUGGUUGGUGUGAACCAAUACCAAAAGAGGUUGAAUCCGCCUAGGAGUGAUUAGUGAAUUCAAGCUAAAUCGGUAAUGACACCGUUAUCUGUCAUAAGAGUGGGUUGCUAUAAAGACCAAUUAGGGUGGCACCACGGGAAGAUAAUUAUCUCUCGCCCCUAAC
rnacentral:ncRNA from 1 species